rnacentral:tRNA from 1 species
UAAAUAGCUAAAUUUUUAAGUAUAUUAUUUACAAUAAUAUGAUGUUUAUAAACUUUAUUUAAAUUUUUUUUAUUAAUUAAUUUUUUAUUAUUAU